rnacentral:rRNA from 1 species
AGUUCGGAUCGCAGGCUGCAACCCGCCUGCGUGAAGUUGGAAUCGCUAGUAAUCGCGGAUCAGCAUGCCGCGGUGAAUACGUUCCCGGGCCUUGUACACACCGCCCGUCACACCAUGAGAGUCGAUAACACCCGAAGCCUGUGAGCUAACCGUAAGGGGGCAGCAGUCGAAGGUGGGGUUGGUGAUUGGGGUGAAGUCGUAACAAGGUACC